AUUUUCGUUACAUAACCUCUUCCGAAUUUGCUUUUUCUUUGUUAGUUUUACUUUUGUCUAAUUUGUUUCGCAAACACACGUUCCAGGGUUGUAAAUUAUAUUACUCAUUUAUAUUAAAUUAUUUAUUGUCUUUAAUCUACUUUUAUACCAUUUGUAAUCAAAGUCGGUAUUCAUUAAUUCCAGGCAAUAUUAUUUGAAAUAACGUGGAAAUGUUUUAAUGGCGAAAAGAUUUGUUUCUUCAAGAUAAUCAGUAAUCUAGGAAAUUGAUCAAUUUUUGAUUUUGUUGGAAUGACCGUGAACUACUGAACUCACAGAUACUUAAAAGAGAUGAACUAUAUGAAUUUCAUUCUAGAGCACAGCAAAAAUACCCACAGGGGGCGCUGUAGCACGAGGGGACUUUGGGGCUCCUGGUCGUGGCUGUUCUCUUACCCACAACGAUGAUUCUAGUCUAUCGCAAGCACUGUCGCCCAGCUCUAUCACCAAGAAACGUGCCUAGACGAUCAUUACGGUCGCAAACUAGUGGUUAGGUCCCGGCUAUUUCGCCAAGCCGACAGCGACAAAAGAUCUGGUGUGAAGUAAAACUUGUAUAGACAAAAAAAUUACGUGAGGUUUGGAACUGCAGAGCAUGAAAAUUUACCUUCAAUUUAAAUUAUACAGCAAAGAAAAUUACUGAGGCUAAAAUUGUGAGAUGGAGAAAAAUUGUAUGAGGUGAAAAAUUGCAAUGCUAACAAAAUUACAUAAGUUUAACAUUUUAUGUCCAUUUGAGUCAUUGCGUAAUUUUUAAAAGUAAAGUUAUUCAGCUGUAUUGUAGCAGAAAAUUUGUAGGUUCAAAAUGGCAUCGGACGAAUGCGUCGUACAAAAAAAAGUGCGUCAAAAAUAUGUCUCCCAGAAAUGAGAUCAAUCCUGUGGCGCUGUGCAAAUCAUGAUCUAAAUCAAAGGAAUACAAUGCACGUCCCCCAUGACCCACAAUGUUGUUAAUUUGGUCAACGAGAUUUUACAGUUCAAACAUGUGCUCGGUUUGAAAAUACUCUUUCAAUGUGGCCGCUGCCAAAACAAAGAAUUUACCUAAUGUUAAAUUAUGCCACACUUUAUCAACAAUUCAAAAAAAGAAGUUACAUUAUGUUAAAUUAUGCCACACUUUAUCAAGAUUCAAUCAAAGAAUUUACAUUAUGUUAAAUGAUGCCUUGAUCCAAGUGACUGGUUACUUACAACAAUUAGCUUUGAGAGUUUAUAUCGUGAACUGUCUCCAGCUUAUCGCAAACAAACACAUGAUAAAUAAACACGACAUGCAUCCGGCGUUACCAGAAAAGCUUCUCGGUGAUGUAAUUUUCCACGUUGCGAGAAAAAUGUCUCGGUGAUAUAGCUUUCCACGUUGCGAGAAAAUGUUUCGGUGAUGUGAUGUAGAUAUGAUUAUAAUAAUCGCCUAAGGGGAGAGAUUUUUUAAAUCUCCGUCCCUCAGUCCACGAUAUUAUGAAUGCUCUAUUUAAACAAUCUCUGACGGUUAAACUUGUGUUAGAACCAGUUAACGAUUAAAAUCCUAACAUGAACUGUGAAUUUACAAACAAUAAAACAAAUUUACACCACGUGUUAGCAUAUUUCCGCUUGGAAAAAACGCAAGAAUUAGCUACGCGUGUUGGGGAAACUGUGGCAUCGCAAUCGCUAACUCACCAGGUGGUUACACUCACAACAAACAAACCAAAAGUGACGCCUCAUCUACCAAGCCAGCCAUCUUCUCGCUACCAACCCUCUAGCUAAAAUUGCGUAGCAGAACUACCAGCUACCAGAAGAAAAAUUCGAUAUUUUAUGUAUUUGUUGUAUAUUUCUCAAGAACUCCAACAUGUGAUGAUUUGAUGA